rnacentral:rRNA from 1 species
GACGGAACCGUGCGAACGUUGUUCGGAAUCACUGGGCUUAAAGGGCGCGUAGGCGGCCCGCCGCGUCCGGGGUGAAAUCCUCCCGCUCAACGGGAGAACGGCCUCGGAUACGGGCGGGCUGGAGGCGGGUAGGGGCAGGCGGGAACUGUGGGGUGGAGCGGUGAAAUGCGUUGAGAUCCACAGGAACUCCGGUGGCGAAGGCGGC